rnacentral:rRNA from 1 species
GACGAACGCUGGCGGCGUGCUUAACACAUGCAAGUCGAACGGAAGGGCCCUGCUUUUGUGGGGUGCUCGAGUGGCGAACGGGUGAGUAACACGUGAGUAACCUGCCCUUGACUUUGGGAUAACUUCAGGAAACUGGGGCUAAUACCGGAUAGGAGCUCCUGCUGCAUGGUGGGGGUUGGAAAGUUUCGGCGGUUGGGGAUGGACUCGCGGCUUAUCAGCUUGUUGGUGGGGUAGUGGCUUACCAAGGCUUUGACGGGUAGCCGGCCUGAGAGGGUGACCGGCCACAUUGGGACUGAGAUACGGCCCAGACUCCUACGGGAGGCAGCAGUGGGGAAUAUUGCACAAUGGGCGGAAGCCUGAUGCAGCAGCGCCGCGUGCGGGAUGACGGCCUUCGGGUUGUAAACCGCUUUCGCCUGUGACGAAGCGUGAGUGACGGUAAUGGGUAAAGAAGCACCGGCUAACUACGUG